AUUGCAGGAUGUUGCACCCCAAGGGAAAUAUCUGAGCAAGGGGCUGGCACACUGCUUCCUGUGGUACCAGGAGAAGCAGAAGCAGAGAGCUCUGCCUGCCUGCCACAGAGUCCUGCUACAUGGCCUCGUUCAUUUGAAUCUGAUCUCACCACUUCUAUGCCUGCUCCAUUCCUCUCUGCUUCACCACUUAAACCAGCAUGUGCUACAAGCCUAAUGUGGGAAAUAGUAAAGUCAUUAUUCUACAACCUGAAAGUGUUUUCAUCAAGGAUAGCUCAAAGGUCUCUGGCCACAGAAACUGCAAGGGAAGGAGGAGAAACUGAGUACAGAGUCUUUUCCACAGCUGUGUCCAUGACAGUGACAUCAGUGGAUAUACCUAGGCAGGUAAAAAUCCAUGAUUUUUAUUCCCAUUGGUUUGGUGCAUACAAGGACUGAUCAGAAGAAAACCUUAGAUGGAGGGUUGUGUAGAGCUUUAUUUCUAGCAGUAUUUGCAAAACCAGGCAGUUCCUCCCAAGUGUGUGCUGAGAGCAGGGAGUCCAAACCCACCCCCAGCAGCAGAGAGGCCCAGGGAAAGUCCUCCCUAACUGUGCACAAUUUCUGGGGAAACCUCAGUCAUUCCCUCUGACUUCUGAAGCUGUGCAUAUGGAAAAGAACUAGGUUUUAAUUCUAAUCUAUCACACGUGUCAAAAUAUCUGGACAAUUAAGUCUGGCAUCCCUGCUGUAAAUCGUAACAGGAACUUUAUGUAUCUCUUUCUUAACUGUCUAAAAAUACAGUGCAGGCUCUGGCCUACUCCAUCCUCUUUGGACUCCUGCAAAGAACAGACAUUGAAAAAUGGACCAACUUCUCUGGAGAAGGGUCUCACCACAGGAAGAUUGCAGUAGGCAUAAAGGUCCUGU